rnacentral:rRNA from 1 species
UGGGGAAUAUUGCGCAAUGGGCGAAAGCCUGACGCAGCGACGCCGCGUGAGGGAUGAAGGUUUUCGGAUCGUAAACCUCUGUCAGAAGGGAAGAAACCGCACUGUGCUAAUCAGCAGUGCCUUGACGGUGCCUUCAAAGGAAGCACCGGCUAACUCCGUGCCAGCAGCCGCGGUAAUACGGAGGGUGCAAGCGUUAAUCGGAAUUACUGGGCGUAAAGCGCACGUAGGCUGCUUUGUAAGUCAGGGGUGAAAUCCCACGGCUCAACCGUGGAACUGCCUUUGAUACUGCUUAGCUUGAAUCCGGGAGAGGGUGGCGGAAUUCCAGGUGUAGGAGUGAAAUCCGUAGAUAUCUGGAGGAACAUCAGUGGCGAAGGCGGCCACCUGGACCGGUAUUGACGCUGAGGUGCGAAAGCGUGGGGAGCAAACAGG